ensembl:lncRNA
AUUUGCGAUGACACUAAUUCCACUUUGUUCUUCAAUUGUCUUCAUUACCUUAACAGCUGAAAUCGUCCUAGGCUCCACGGAGCAGCCUCGUCUUGUCUCUGUAAAUAUCGCUGGCUUGAAAAAUAGUUCUAUUGGAACCUGCCAGAUGGGCAAGAUAAAAGGAACUGUGAUGGUUCCUAAACGGGGCGAGAGACUUCCUGAAGGACUACUUCCCCGCCUAGGAAAAUUGGGCAACCCGAAGUUGCCACACCUUUGGGUGGCAGAGCAAGGACAGGUCCCCGCCACCGGCCGCCCCACGCUGGAAGCGCGCGUCCGCGCACCUGGCGCCGGGGCGCCUGAACCACAGUCCCUUGUGGUUCGGAAGAAAGGAAGACCGCGCAGCCCUUGCUCGCCCGUCAGCUUCGUCAGCCCUUUCUAUUUUUCCAGUGCUCCUUACCAUUCCGCCUGGCUCCUUUUCUCUGCCUCCCUCAAGCCUGAUUCCUCCAAAACCACAGGAUCAUUCCGUGAACAGUUAGCACAUAGGGAUCGCAGGGCUGGAGGCUGACAGCAGAUCCUUCUCGAAACUGGUCCGGCAGCCCGUCACAGUCUGGGAUACACCCGAGAGCCACGGUGUCCCUUUGCCUCACUUCAGACUACCUGUCACUCCCACGGUUUCUCCCAAGGAGCAGCUCUCAGCGUUGCGCGUCUGUAGCGCCUCACAGGAGACAGACAGACGUGUUAGAGCCAAAAACACUGUGAUGGGACGAGAUCUCCGCCUUCUAAGGGGCUCAGAAACUGGGGAGGAACUUGACGGGAGUAAAGAGGCCAUGACGAUACAGUGCAAGGAUCACAGUGCUGGAGGGGGCUUGAGACCCCGUUGGCCCAGAGAAGAGUUGGUCAGUCCGGACAACUCAGGAGGGCUUCUCAGGAGAGACACUUAGCUGGUUCUGGGAGAAAGUGGUCCAUAGUAAAACCCACAAAAGUUUAAUGCAACUUUUCAAAUGCUAUUUGAUUUUUUAAAACACACAGACAGCAUUCCACUUACCUGCUGCAAGAAAUUAAUUGAUUCGGAGUUUAUUUGUGAAGCCAGAACAGAUGUAUAUUCACCAAGGGAGGUUGCAUAUGAACUAGUUAACAUCUACCACGUCAAUAUUCAGGAAUAACUGAUGGCCCCAGUAAGAGUAUAUAGGGGUCACCAGCAGAGUUCUCCACCUUCAGCCUUACUUCUUCAAAAGUCCCCCUAACUCCAGACAUAGCCUCAGGGCAGGUCUGCUGGCGGCUUCAGUGGAAGACCAUCCCUUUCCUUCCUGCGCCUCUUCCAGACUCCUCCCAGACCGACUUUUCGUGCGUAUCAGCAGCAGAAGCAGUAGCAGAAGUCACGGAGGAGCCCAGCCGCUUUCUGCCCUAGACCACAUGCCCAUCCAAACCAGAGUCAGCCAGGAGGCAGAAAUGUGGCCCUGUAGCUUUCUAAGCUAUCAUCAGAUGCAAAAUCUGGCAAAUCUGCCAUUUGUAAGAAAAUUAGAUCCCCAAGCUCACCUAACCCUACCGUGCAGGGAAGAAUUGAGUAUAAGUGGCUUUAGGUUUUUUCUCUAGAGAAAAUAACAUUCGAUGAAAUCAAGUUCUUGCUAAACUGAGAACAUUGCUUCUAAUUAUUACCUGAGAGGCACAAUAUCAUAAGCUGCUGUCCAAUAAGUUUUA